rnacentral:rRNA from 1 species
GAUGAACGCUGGCGGCGUGCCUAAUACAUGCAAGUCGAGCGAACGGACGAGAAGCUUGCUUCUCUGAUGUUAGCGGCGGACGGGUGAGUAACACGUGGAUAACCUACCUAUAAGACUGGGAUAACUUCGGGAAACCGUAGCUAAUACCGGAUAAUAUUUUGAACCGCAUGGUUCAAAAGUGAAAGACGGUCUUGCUGUCACUUAUAGAUGGAUCCGCGCUGCAUUAGCUAGUUGGUAAGGUAACGGCUUACCAAGGCAACGAUGCAUAGCCGACCUGAGAGGGUGAUCGGCCACACUGGAACAGAGACACGGUCCAGACUCCUACGGGAGGCCGCAGUAGGGAAUCUUCCGCAAAGGGCGAAAGCCUGACGGAGCAACGCCGCGUGAGUGAUGAAGGUCUUCGGAUCGUAAAACUCUGUUAUUAGGGAAGAACAUAUGUGUAAGUAACUGUGCACAUCUUGACGGUACCUAAUCAGAAAGCCACGGCUAACUACGUG